ACCAAGAUCUCGCAUGCGCCGUAGUAGCCUACUCGCCGCUUUAAACCAAGGCUGGACAGAUGUUAAGCAGCCUGGUUGAGGGGUGAAACUCCGGGAAAACAUUUUAAAGAGGGAGCUGAAGAGUCAACGCUGACCAUAUUAAUGUAGGGACAAAAUAAAUAACGGGCAUCAUGUUGAGAAAAUAGUUCCAGAUAUGUCAGCAGCAGGAGCGACGCGGAAAUGUCCACAACCGAGCAACAGCCAAAUCGAGUCAGUGGUAGAGGAUGACAGCAGCUGGGUCCAGUGGAGCGGUCAACGCCGUCUGCACCCAAGACUCCUCCCACUCACCUAAAACAACCUGCCCACAAACCACAUGGCCCUGCCCACUCUGCUUCCCACGGCAACAGAAGGAUGAGCUCGAAGUCAGACUCCGCCUCCGCUCCCCUCCUGGGGCGUGGCUACUAGCGGGCAUUGUCGUGGUGAUGGUGGGAAUGUUUGUGGCCGUGGCCGGGUAUGCUAGCUCCACCCCUAACCCUGUGGGUGGGCGAGGCAGCUCCCACAGCGAGCGAAUGAAACUGCUCGGCCCUGUCGUGAUGGGCAUCGGCCUGUUCAUCUUCAUCUGUGCUGGAACCUUGCUGUAUGAGAACCGGGACCGUGAGAACCGAGAGCGUGAGAACCUUGAGAACCCUGAGGAGCAGGGGAAAUGCAAACACAAGAAAACAAGGGAAUGGCGCCGGGAGAACCGUGAUUAUGAGGAUGUGGAACAGGGGAACCAGAGAGAGCCCUCAGACAAACACUCCCCUCUCCCUGAGGAGUGCCCGCCCCCCCUGCCUCCCAGAGUGCCUAGACAGGAGGGGUCAGAGUUGAACGUUCUCUCUGUGGGGGCGCUGAGCUCACUGCUACCAGGGGAGGGACAGGGGCGUGAAGAGAGAGUCAGAGAGGUGGGGGGUAAAGGGGGGUCAACCCUGCUGACCAGAGUCCUGCACCACCAGGACCCCCCCUCCUCCUGUCCCUCCCCAGCUCCCUCCUCUGUGUACUCUGACUCCUGUAACUCCAGUGAGAUCAACUAUAACAUUCAGACAGGCUCCCCUAUCCACUCUAUUCUCCAACUCUGAGAUACUACUGUACUCACAUCUGUACACGCUUUUCUAAAUAAAUGCACCACAUAUUUCUCCAUCUCUCUCUGUGGUUUCCAUAGGCUGUAGAUGCAGUGGAGUGUGUUGGGCAUCUCUCUCUACCCCUCUAGGACGUCAGGGCCAGGGGGAGACAGGGCUAGGUGACGUCAGCUUGUUGUUGUGUAGUAAAGUCUCUCUCAGGGGUGUUUGACUGUAUUUGGGCUUAGGAGAGGAUUCCACUGCAGACAGUGACUAUGGUGCCAUCCUGAAUGAUGCGCGUACACACACUAAAUACGGCCAGACAUUCCACUAUGGAACAGGCUGCUUUGGAGAACUUUGAUUCAUGAUGUCGUUUUAACUGUAACUCAAAGUUUUAUCUAAUAUUAGUGACUCUGUUUGUCAUGGCUGUUCUCCUAUAGGGUUUCUGUUUACACACACCCAAACUUGGCUCGAGAUGGACGGAAAUCAUAGCAAUGAAAACAAAGUGAAUGCCUUCUCAUAGUUGGCUGUUGGCUGUCUACAUGCUUACUCUUUACUUGAGUUAGAUGUUACUACCCAAUAACUGGUAGAAUCCACGUUGUUCCACUUCAUUUCAACAAAACAUUUGCAAAAAGUCAACGUAAGGCAAUUGCGUCCUUUUCCCACCCAAAUUUUUACCUAAAUCCAAUGUCAUUGUGAAUUUGUUUUGUUGACUUCACGUUGAAUUCACGUUAGCUGACAACUCUACCAAAUGUGCCCAGUCUGUUUGCAGUGCAUAUAUGAAGUAUAUCUUUGCAGCAAACCUUUGGUCUUUAAGGUACACAAAACCAUUAGGAUGUUAGACUGGGUUUAAUUGAAUAGAGCCCACAGAUGCAGAUGCAGUAAAAGGGGGGAGGAGGAGGGAGAGAUGAAGGGGGGAGAGGGAGGGGUGAAUUUAAUUGUCCUGAGUGUUCUCCUCUAGCCUCCAAUUACACUGUGGAACCGACCAAGGGUUUUUUAUUGGUAUUUCAGGACUGCAGAGUAUUUCCUCUGUUGUUCAGACACAUGCUGGGAUAAUGCCAUUGAGAUUAGUGAGGAACGCCAAGACUACCUUGCCCUGCACAGCCAGACACAUCUACACAACACACACACACAACCGCAUGCAUGCUUUCACACAUGCUAAACCACUCACACCUCAUACUGCUUUUGAACCCAUUAACCCCGGGUUCACCACCAGUGACACUACCAGGGAUAGACCAGUACUUGGUUUCUCGCUUCUGACUAUGCUAAUACUGGGAAGUGUGUGUUUUUUGUGAGUUUAAUGCAGCAGCUGAAUUAUGUGGUCAGUCAGUGUUUGAUUGCUGGACUGUAAUCCUGAACAUCAGAUUAAAUUCACAUGUAAUCCCUGCCUGACCCUAACACUUACUCUCACAAUGCUCCACCUAUGGCCUCCCAUAACACACACAAGCACAAGCACACACCCUCUCUGUCCCACACGGAGAUAACCUGUGCAUUGUAUUUCUACUCUUGCUGUUGCCUAGGUUUGUUUAACUGUCUCAGUCUGUCUCUGUGUUACACAAUCCCACAAACCGGACAGUUGUUUUAGUCUCCCUCUAAUGUCAGUCAUACAUUUUAUUAGAGUUUAUGCAGGAUCAGUACUGUGGGACUGGGAGCACUGUCUCUAAGCUGCUUAACUCCUCGCUGAGUCAGACACGUGUGUUUUACCGAGGAGGGAGACCCUACUGGGGUUACAGGACCAGAGACAGAGUGCUGAAUCCUAACACCAAUCCAAACAUGCAAAUCACAACUUUGUGCAAAUAUCCCAUUGAUCAGUAGAUAGUCAGGAUCUCAAGUUAGUGUUUCAACUUGGCACCGCAACAACACCUGGGACAUCUGUGACCCACAGCAACAACACCUGGGACACCUGGGAUUCACAGCAACAACACCUGGGGCACCUGUGACCCACAGCAACAACACAUGGGACACCUGUGACCCACAGCAACAACACCUGGGACACCUGUGACCCACAGCAACAACACCUGGGACACCUGUGACCCACAGCAACAACAGCUGGGACAUCUGUGACCCACAGCAACAACACCUGGGACAUCUGUGACCCACAGCAACAACACCUGGGACAUCUGUGACCCACAGCAACAACACCUGGGACACCUGUGACCCACAGCAACAACACCUGGGACCCACAUCAACAACACCUGGGAACCACAGCAACAACACCUGGGACCCACAGCAACAACGCCUUCACAUAAAAUGAGGAUGAUCAGGAGGAGCAACGGGAGGGGCCUCUGCAGUGUUUCCGCUGUGACCUGGGCUUCUGGGAUGCCUGCUACACCACCAAAACCAACUGCAAUAUCGGGGAGAAGUGCUACACUGGCCGAGGGAAGGCAGGUGAUGUGUUGGAAGUUAAGUUGCUGGGCUGUGUCAAGGCGAAGGAGUGUGAGCUGGUGACCAAUGUGGAGCUCUUCUCCAACACAACCAUCUACAUGAUGACCAGGCACUGCUGCGACACACACUUCUGCAACACCGGACACACACUACCCCUCAACACACUCCUCUCCCUGUCACUGACUACAAUAACCAUGAUCCUCACCUUCAACAGAAUACAAUAACUACCAUGCAUCAUAAAGUCCCCAGCAGCACACAUUUAUUCAGAUUUUCUUAAUUCUGUUAAUAUUCUGUGUUUAUUUGUCAAGGAAUAUGGACAGUAAUUAACAUAUGUGGAUGUGCCAGAUUGAGGCAAAAGUCUCAUGUUCAACCCUUAGAAGCUGUCUCUGGGCUUGGGAAAAAUUGGUUAGAUGGUUUUAUGGAAUUCAAUUUUGAAUAAAUGUAAUUUUCUCAUUCUGUUGUUGGCAUAAACUAGAAAAGUAGACAGAAAAUAAAAUCCAAUCAUGUUUAUUGAA